GCCUGUUCUCAGGGCGGGGCGAAAUUCCCCACCGGCGGUAUGCGGGGCGUGUCCCCGUCAGCCCGCGAGCGGCUUUUCGGGGCGUGAACCCACAGCCAAUGAGGCGAACAUCGGUUCCGGUGGCUUGGACAAGCGCGUCCACAGCCCGAAAAGUGGGAACCGGUUUUCGGAUCAAGCUGUGGAGCAGUCAGGAAAGUGACAAGCAGAUCUGGUGAGAGGCCAGAGCCGACGGUUAUAGUCCGGAUGGAAGAGAACGUGC
rnacentral:ncRNA from 1 species